UAAUUAUGUGCAAUUUUUUCAGAAUUGUUUCGAUUUCCCUGAAGAACCUGCAUAUAAUGUAUCAGAAGAGGCUAAAGAUUUAAUAAGGAGAUUAAUCUGUACAGCAGAGAGUCGUUUUGGACAGAAUGGUUUAGAUGAUUUUAAAAAUCAUCCUUGGUUUGCUGGAAUAAACUGGGACAAUGUUAGAGAUAGUGAAGCACCUUACAUUCCUGAGGUAAGCAGUCCUACAGAUACUUCAAAUUUUGAUGUUGAUGAAGCUGAUUUUAAAAGUUCAGAUUCAGUGCCACCUAGUACAAAUUCUAUUUUUUCUGGUUUGCAUUUGCCAUUUGUUGGAUUUACAUUUACUUGUGGAAGGUAACUUU